rnacentral:misc_RNA from 1 species
AGCUCCACCAAGAUCCCACUUUCUGGCACGUUACAAAGAUUUUGGCCCCUUUUGUUGACCUUUUAAGUCUCUCAAAUGUCAAUAAUGUAUUCUUUAAUCUUUAUUAAGUUUGCUUAAUAAUUCAAUAGAGAACUGGUACAAUGAUGUGCACCCAAAAGAACGUGCGUUGGUUGAUUGAAGGGGCAGCUCAGCCUCAGCUACAGAGCCCACCAUAACAGUUGGGGUUAGAAGAUCAGAAAGUGGAGUGCUUACGUAAGUGAGCCUCUAUCUAUAAGAUGUAAAGUAUUUGUCUUCCUUUUCAUCUUGAAGCAUGCUGAGUUUAUUUCAUUUUGACUAUGUGAAUCUCUAUCUAUAUAAUGUGAAGUAUUUUCUUCCUUUUCAUCUUGAAGAAUGCUGAGUUUAUUUCAUUUUGAUUAACUGAUAAUAUCAGUGAUGAGCAUGGAAUCAUCCUUUUGCUUUGUUA